rnacentral:rRNA from 1 species
AUUGAACGCUGGCGGCAGGCCUAACACAUGCAAGUCGAGCGGAUGAAGGGAGCUUGCUCCUGGAUUCAGCGGCGGACGGGUGAGUAAUGCCUAGGAAUCUGCCUGGUAGUGGGGGAUAACGUCCGGAAACGGGCGCUAAUACCGCAUACGUCCUGAGGGAGAAAGUGGGGGAUCUUCGGACCUCACGCUAUCAGAUGAGCCUAGGUCGGAUUAGCUAGUUGGUGGGGUAAAGGCCUACCAAGGCGACGAUCCGUAACUGGUCUGAGAGGAUGAUCAGUCACACUGGAACUGAGACACGGUCCAGACUCCUACGGGAGGCAGCAGUGGGGAAUAUUGGACAAUGGGCGAAAGCCUGAUCCAGCCAUGCCGCGUGGGUGAAGAAGGUCUUCGGAUUGUAAAGCACUUUAAGUUGGGAGGAAGGGCAGUAGUUAAUACCUUGCUGUUUUGACGUUACCAACAGAAUAAGCACCGGCUAACUUCGUG